rnacentral:rRNA from 1 species
GUGCCAGCAGCCGCGGUAAUACGGAGGGUGCAAGCGUUGUUCGGAAUCACUGGGCGUAAAGGGCGUGUAGGCGGUCCGCUAAGUCUGAUGUGAAAGCCCGAGGCUUACCCUCGGAAGUGCAUUGGAGACUGGCGGACUGGAGUCCCGGAGAGGAGGGUGGAAUUCCUGGUGUAGCGGUGAAAUGCGUAGAUAUCAGGAGGAACACCGGUGGCGAAGGCGGCCCUCUGGACGGUGACUGACGCUGAGACGCGAAAGCGUGGGGAGCAAACAGGAUUAGAUACCCUGGUAGUCCACGCUGUAAACGAUGAGCACUAGGUGUCGCGGGUAUUGACCCCUGCGGUGCCGACGCUAACGCAUUAAGUGCUCCGCCUGGGGAGUACGGUCGCAAGAUUAAA